rnacentral:rRNA from 1 species
CCUACGGGAGGCAGCAGCUGAGAAUCUUCCGCAAUGGACGAAAGUCUGACGGAGCAAUACCGCGUGAAUGAUGAAGGCUGAAAGGUUGUAAAAUUCUUUUGCAGACAAAGAAUAAGCACAGUAGUAAAUGACUGUGUGAUGACGGUAGUUAUGCGAAUAAGCCCCGGCUAAUUACGUGCCAGCAGCCGCGGUAAUACGUAAGGGGCGAGCGUUGUUCGGAAUUAUUGGGCGUAAAGGGCAUGUAGGCGGUUGGGUAAGCCUGGCGUGAAAUCUACGAGCUUAACUCGUAAACUGCGUUGGGUACUGCCCAUCUUGAAUCAUAGAGGGGAAACUGGAAUUCCAAGUGUAGGGGUGGAAUCUGUAGAUAUUUGGAAGAACACCGGUGGCGAAGGCGGGUUUCUAGC